ensembl:rRNA 5S_rRNA 5S ribosomal RNA
GUCUACUGUCAUACUACCCUGAACGCGCCCGAUCUUGUCGAUCUCGGAAGCUAAUCAGAGUCGGGCCUGGUUAGUACUUGGAUGGGAGACUACCUGGGAAUAUUGUGUGCUGUGGGCU